AGCUGAUCACUGGGCGUAAAGCGUGCGCAGGCGGUUUUGUAAGACAGAGGUGAAAUCCCCGGGCUCAACCUGGGAACUGCCUUUGUGACUGCAAGGCUGGAGUGCGGCAGAGGGGAAUGGAAUUCCGCGUGUAGCAGUGAAAUGCGUAGAUAUGCGGAGGAACACCGAUGGCGAAGGCAAUCCCCUGGGCCUGCACUGACGCUCAUGCACGAAAGCGUGGGGAGCAAACA
rnacentral:rRNA from 1 species